GUGCCCUUAGCUCAGCUGGACAGAGCAACAGCCUUCUAAGCUGUGGGUCGGAGGUUCGAAUCCUCCAGGGCACGCCA
rnacentral:tRNA from 2 species